rnacentral:rRNA from 1 species
GUCCACGCCGUAAACGUUGGGCACUAGGUGUGGGGGAUUAUCAACGUCCUCCGUGCCGUAGCUAACGCAUUAAGUGCCCCGCCUGGGGAGUACGGCCGCAAGGCUAAAACUCAAAGGAAUUGACGGGGGCCCGCACAAGCGGCGGAGCAUGUUGCUUAAUUCGAUGCAACGCGAAGAACCUUACCUGGGCUUGACAUGUAGGGAAAAGCCGCAGAGAUGCGGUGUCCUUCGGGGUCCUACACAGGUGGUGCAUGGCUGUCGU